UCCAACGGUCGUGCUAAAUAUUCGCGCACAAUCGUAAAUCAAGCGCCUCUUUCAUAUUUAUAUUUAUGAACCCUAGCUAGAUCCUAAAUCACCCGAACCCUUUUGUUUGAUUAAUGAGCGAAUUGCGGGUUUAUUUAGGGUUUCUCAAUUGCAGAGUACAAAACCACACACCAUACAUCGGCUGUUUCAUAUGUCUGAUCUUCAAAACCCCUCUUCGAGUAUCUAGGGUUUUUCAGUCAACUUGAUGUCGUCGAGAAUCACCAGAAUUUGCAGGGUUUUGUGAGAAUUGCGAGUUUAAGGUUUUUCAAUCAUGGAAUUUGACGAUCAUCUGACGUGUUCUUGGUCUGCCGUAGAAUUAAUUAACCGGGUUCGACCCACCAUGGCUUCAGUAGAAGUAGAAGUCUGGCACUAUUUUUACAUAUAUGGUUCCAAAAUUUUAAUUUUGGAUCUUAGAAUGAGAAAAUGUCCAGGUAAGCAUUAUUUUUCAAAGUUAUUAUGUUAAUUGAUGCUGCUAGGAAGAUAUAAGUUGGGGUGGAGUAAUAGGGUUGUGUUUGACCGGAAAGUUUUGCCGGAAAUGAGAGCAGGGAUGGAGUGGGGUGGGGUAGGGUAGCGUGGGGUUGUGUUUUAACAAGUGGGUCCUAGAAUACAAUCUUUUAAAUUUCCAUGGUUUUUUAAUAUAAUUGAAACAAGGGUAAUUCAAGUAUUUCAUUAAAAACUUAACGGUAAAAUCAACAGUGUUAGGAGACUGGACUGAAAUGGUUACGGAAGUGAAACCACAGGGACUGAAAUAGUGAUUUUUGACAAACCACAGGGACGAAAACAGUAAUUAACUCAUUUAGAUAUCUUUUUGUUUUUUAUUAAUAAGGGCAUUAUGGUCAAUUCACGUGUACUUAACAGAAUAAAUGGAUGGGGUUAAUGGAGAUGGACUGAAAUGGUUACGAAAGUGAAACCACAGGGACUGAAAUCGCAAUUUUUAAACUAAUGGACUGACAUAAUGAUUUUUGACAAACCACAAGGACGAAAAUAGUAAUUAACUUCAUUAAAAUAAGUAAAAAAAAAUUCUCACCUUAAUCAUGGAUGCUUGUUUAGGUCAUAUAGUUGUUAUAGAUGCUUUUGAAGCGGAAGAAUUUGCUGAGGUGGCAACGAAGCCACUGAAAGCCCUUCCAUAUGACACACCUGGUUGAAGUUUAUGGCAUUUGAGUACCCCAUAAGGGGUCCCAGCUCAGUUGUUGGCAGAUUUUUUGACGUGUUGAAAUUUAUCGUCAAAGAGGUGCCCUAAUCGACCUCUCAGGAAAACCAUGGAGCCCUGUAUGACAUAGCUUGGACCAAUCCCGUCGUUGAUCAAGACGCUAGAUUCCGGUGAUUUGGAUUCUCAAUUCGCCGGACUCUACUCGCUUCUUAAUAUUGGAAUCGGCAACGACUGCGUAAUCGAUACAUCAGUAAGAGGGCAAUUGAUGGUGGCUGGGUAUUUUGGAGAUUUCACAUGCUCAGCCUUUUGGUCGGUCGGAUACGGUUUCUGAUAUAAGCUGAUAAGGCUGUGAUGAGUUUAAUAAUCUGAGUAAAAUACCGGAUGAAGAUGUCGCUUUGGCGUGGCGAGGUUAGAGGAUGGUGGGUGUUGACCUGCAACCUCCCUUGCAGCCAUUGUGGCGUUAUCGUUUCACCAUCUCUGAGCCUCAAUGAAACUUUUGUACUUUUAAAUACUGAAGUGGCAAUGAAGAAUAAACUUCUUGGGUAAUAGAGUAAUAUUAUCUAAUAAUAGAUUAAGGGAAUGAAUUGCAACUUGAGGACGUGUCUGGGCUUUAGUGAUUGCUAGGGGUGGUGUUUGGGCUUCCUAGGCGGUGAAGUCUUUUAGGAAAUUGAGUAGACACAGUUGGGAUUCCGGGAUUCUUCCAAGGCAACUCACAUGUGCUAAUUUUAUGGAAUUGCAUAGAAGUCUUCAAUGGAACCAUCGAUUUUUAAGGCUAAAGACUUCAAUUUAACUCGAGGUUACCAUUUAACAAUGAAAAGCAUCAUCAUCUUGGUGUCACUUUUGUUAUUUACUAUUGUUUUUAAACGAGUUCAGAUCUUUUUGUUAAUAUUGUAAAAUUACUUCACUAUAUGCCUUUUGGCAGCUUAUUCCUUUUUGCUGCAAAGAGGUUUAGGCGCACUACAUGCAAAAAUCAUAUAAUUCCCCUAAACCCUGAUGAUAUAUCAAAAGGGAAUGAAAUCAUGGCUUGCAACAACUCUAUGAAGGUAAAAAGAGCAAGGGACGACACCUAAUGGCAUCUAUACAUUUAUUGUCUACUAUAAAUCACAUUGGACGCUGCAAAAGACCACUGAAAAUCAACAUCUUGCACACCCCCAUACGUAAAGGCGUAUUGUAAUCGCACAACGUGCGUCGAUGAACAACACUAGUUAUCUUUUAAAAUGCAAACUUUAUACCUAUUUAUAGAAAUAGCAAUUUCAACCAUUUGAUAAUGAGUUGGUUGAUGAGGGACUGGGGUUAUAUUUAGACCUGGCAAAAUCAACCCAUACAUUCAACUUUGGGUUAGGAUGGGUAUUAUUUUUGUAGUAGAUGGGUUAAGUUGG